CCUGGAACUCACUAUGCAGACCAGGCUGGCCUCAAAAUCACAGAGAUCCGCCUGCCUCUGCCUCCUGGGUGCUGGGAU
ensembl:miRNA